UUUAAUGAUAAAAUAAAAUAUGCACAAAACCAAAAAAAUGCCUUUGUAGUUAUUCCUAUCCCUACCGCCACCAGUCUCGCAUGUGCAGCUUUCUUAAAACCCAAUUUUAAGACUUUUCACUGGUUACGCGCUCGCAUCAACGUGGAUAAGAAACAAACGUUCAUCCAAUACGAUUUAACCAUCAGAUGGCAAGUGCGUGAACAACAAUCAUUGAACUAGAGAGUGAAACUGAGAUGGAAGAUGACUAUAUAUGGUCCAGCAAAACAGAGUCUUUUACGGCCUGUGUGGUCGCCGUUGAACCAAAGAGAUACGGACACUGGCAAACCCAUCAUACUUCAUGGACCUCUCGACCCACCCAAAUAAAUAUACUCCUCCACCUAAAGAUUUCUUUUCGUUUCUUUCGCUUUGAUUGCUACAAUUUUUCCUUUCCUUUCCUACCAAAAUAAUGGCAGGAACACUGGGGAGGAAUCUUCAUCUCUGCUUUACCAAGAUCAAGCGUCAGCUAGAGCCCCAAUCUCCUUCUACUCUUUUAGCUCCACACGAUCACAGCCAUCCACUUGUCACAAAUAAUUUUAACUCUCUCUUUGACUACACCUUUGACUCCGCCUCUAAAUCCCCGACUCCGUCGUCCUCUUCCUCUUCCGUUGCUUCCUCCUCCUCCUCCUCUGAACCUGACUUCGCCACCAUAUUCGCCUCCCAACGUUUCUUCUUCUCCUCCCCAGGCCGCUCCAAUUCCAUCAUUGAAUCAACACCCUCCAGUGCUACUCCAACAGAAUCAUCUGGCUCGCUGGUAGGAAUAAAGUGUGAUAAUGCUGCGCCGCUUUCGGACACCGGUACGAUGAAUAAUGAUCAAUCCGACAGGUCGUCUUUAGAAUCGUGGAACUCUGGAGCCGUUAAACACAGCGUAGCGGUCCACACGUACUCGCCGGACCCUUAUUUGGACUUCAGGCGAUCCAUGCAGGAGAUGGUGGAGGCACGCGAGUUGGUGGACGUGAAGGCCAAUUGGGACUACUUGCAUGAGCUUCUGCUGUGUUAUCUUGCGCUGAAUCCUAAGAGUACCCACAAGUUUAUUGUUCGAGCUUUUGCUGACCUCCUUGUUAGUCUCUUGGCAUUGCAACCGGCAGUGGCGCCGGCGGAGGGAGAGUGAUCUGGAAGCCGGCGUUGUGAGCUUUUUGCGGCAAUGCAUGUAAGAUGUAACGUGGGUUGUCGGAUAAUGAUUGGGUAAUCUUGUUACUUUUGAUUUGGCAAUACUUUUAUGUGGGGAACUAAAGUUGGCCCUUCCCUUUUUGUCUUCUAUCUAACACCUUAUCCCUCAGUACACACUCGUUGCAUUUCAUCCUUGUAUCUAAAGUUGGCCCUUCCCUUUUUGUCUUCUAUCUAACACCUUAUCCCUCAGUACACACUCGUUGCAUUUCAUCCUUGUAU
rnacentral:misc_RNA from 1 species